rnacentral:lncRNA from 10 species
ACCAGGACAUUGCUGGCAGUCUUGAUGAAUGGCGUGUCCUCUGAGCCCACUCAUGGAACAUAAUUCUCUGGAAGAGGAAGACACACCAAGUGGCUGUCUGUCCACAAGCAGAUGGAGGAAAUACCACGUGAGGACACAGCAGGAAGGAAGUUGCCCGGAAGCCGAUGAGGGAGGCCUUAUCAGAAACCAACCCUGCCUACUCCCUGAUCUUGGACUUCCUGCCUCUGGAUCUGCAAGAAAACAAAUGUCCCUUGUGGCCGGGCACUGGGGCUCAUGCUUAUAAUCCCAGCACUUUGGGAGGCCGAGGCAGGCAGAUCACAUGAGGUCAGGACCAGCCUGGCCAACAUGGUUAAAGCUUGUCUUACUAAAAAUACAAAAAAAAGUUAGCCAGGUAUGGUGGCAUGCACCUGUAGUCCCUGCUACUCAGGGAGGCUGAGGCAGGGGAAUCACUUGAACCCAGGAGGUGGAGCGGUCCCUGCUACUCAGGGAGGCUGAGGCAGGGGAAUCACUUGAACCCAGGAGGUGCAGCGGUCAUGCGACUGCACUCCAGCCUGGGUGACAGAGGGAGAUUCCAUCUCAAAAAGAAAAAAAAAAGAAACAAAAGAAAAGAAAAGAAAUAUCCCUUGUUGAAGCCACUCAAUCUGUGGUACUUUGUUAUGGCAGCCCAAGCAGACUCGUACAGAUCCAUCAUCAAAAAUAAGCAAAUCACAACGAAAUAAAGAGCCACUAAUAUAAACGGAUGGAUAAUAGGUAGUUUAUGUGAUGGUCUUUGUUUCUGAAACAGAAGAACACCUCACACUGAUGAGGACCUCCUGGUUGCAGCUGAGGAACACUGCAGGCAGAGGAGAGUUCACUGGGGCAGCAAUCUCCAUCCAACCAACUGUUCUUCCCUCCUGGGAAAACAAACCACAACCCAUCAUGUGUGCCAGGCAGGCAAAAACUUCCCUGGAAGCCUGGAAAUAAUCACACCCUGAAAUUGGGUUAACUAGGCUGCAAUUUCAACAACACUCUUAGUCACACACACUGUUUCAAUAUUUUCUUCAAUAAAUUGGAGAUAACAGAGUUUCAGCGAAUAUAUGCCAUUGAUAUCUAUUAAUCAAACAUUAAGUAUUUGCUGGACACCAACUGUCAUCCUGGCAGUAAAACAAAUCAAUUCACUAUAAGGAUCUGUCUAGUCUUAGGCAUUUUAGUUCAAUUCUCAGC